UCGGGAAUUUUGCUCAAUGGGGGAAACCCUGAAGCAGCAACGCCGCGUGAGGGAUGAAGGCCUUCGGGUUGUAAACCUCUUUUGUCAGGGACGAUGAUGACGGUACCUGGCGAAUAAGCCACGGCUAACUACGUGCCAGCAGCCGCGGUAAUACGUAGGUGGCAAGCGUUGUCCGGAUUUACUGGGCGUAAAGAGCGCGCAGGCGGUCAUGUAAGUCGAAUGUGAAAGCCCCUGGCUCAACCAGGGAGGGUCAUUCGAUACUGCUUGACUCGAAGGCAGGAGAGGGAAGUGGAAUUCCGGGUGUAGUGGUGAAAUGCGUAGAUAUCCGGAGGAACACCAGUGGCGAAGGCGACUUUCUGGCCUGUUCUUGACGCUGAGGCGCGAAAGCUAGGGGAGCAAACGGGAUUAGAUACCCCGGUAGUCCUAGCCGUAAACGAUGGACACUAGGUGUUGGUGGUAUCAACCCGCCAGUGCCAUAGCUAACGCAUUAAGUGUCCCGCCUGGGGA
rnacentral:rRNA from 1 species